CAAACAGCGCGGUGUCUGGUAGACCAGUGCUUCAUUCUCGCAGGGGAAGCUAGGGCAACGGUUGUGGUGUAGGUGCGCACCCGUCUGGAUUUCGCUUUAAUGCAAGAUUUCUAUAAACAGUGACGUCAUAAUUGGUUACUAUAUUUAAUGAAUAACAGAGGGGGAUUUGCGAAGCUCUCCUCUCUGGACGACCUUUGGAACGGAUGACGUCACGACCAAUGACAGUGCAGAGCUCCUGAUGCCCUGGCGGAGAAAUUAACGGACGCUUCAUUGCUUCGGGUGGAUCUCUGAGUGGCGGUCAUGUUGUUGGUGCUCUCCUCGCCACGAAUUUCGUGACGAGCGACUGUUUUUGACUGAGUGAUGUGUGUGGAAAUACUUCGGUGCCGACGAGAACUAUCUGCGAGACUUCCUCCAGCGCCCCAGUGCAGUCGGCAACGACACUGCGGUGGGCCCCAUUGCACAUGAGCUCUUGUGAAAAAUAAUUUCCUUGCACUUACUCGGAUUUACUGGUGCACGACACAAAGAAAAUGAAGUUUUGUCGACUCAAGACCGUGGAUAUAGACGCCCAUUCAAGGACCCCAGCAAGCACCGCUUCAUUGCUUGUACUUACUUACCUUCACCUUCCUUCAAUGAAGCGGUCAAUGAAGGUGAAGGUAAGUAAGUACAAGCAACGUAAACAAAGGGCCCUCAUAUCUUGUGUCACAGAAUUCAAGUGGACAACCGAGAACACACUACUGCUUUUGAAUACUUAUAGGCUUCAUCAUCACCAGUACAUAAAUGCACCGCCAAGGCAGAAGAAGGAAAUGUGGGAAGAAAUUAGCUGAGACAUGAAGAAAACUGGAGGCUAUAAAGUGUCAGGUGAUGCUUGCUCAAGAAAGUACAGAAAUUUAUUGGCCACCUACAAAGGCAUCACAGACAAGGAGUCAAAAACUGGCUAGCAACACAAUAAGAGGCAGUUCUACGGCUUCUUCUCAGAACUCUUCCAGUGUGACCCGAAAAUACAGCCAGUGGCGCUCCUGAUAGCCGGCGCCCAGUACUCCGCCACUGCUGCGACAGUGCCUGAGGAGCAGUCAGUGGAUGAGCACGGUCACUGACUGGCGCCAUCACAGCACACUGAGAGUGCCACACAAGCAUCAGGUGACAUGGAACCCCCUUCUAACACAGUGGAGACACCACAAAGGGCAAGAAGAGAGAGGAGACCGGUACAUCACCAGUCUGAAGAAUUUUUAAUUGAAUUUAAAAUGUAUCGGAAAGAGGUUGUG